rnacentral:rRNA from 1 species
ACAUGCAGUCGAACGAAGUAGUAAUACUUAGUGGCAGACGGGUGAGUAACAUGUAGGUAUCUGCCCUUUGGCCUGGAAUAACACGAGGAAACUUGUGCUAAUACCGGAUAAGUCUUUACGGAGAAAGCUUUAUGCACCAUUGGAUGAGCCUGCACUUGAUUAGUUUGUUGGUGGGGUAAUGGCCUACCAAGACUGUGAUCAAUAGCUGAUUUGAGAGGAUGAUCAGCCACAUUGGGACUGAGACACGGCCCAAACUCCUACGGGAGGCAGCAGUGGGGAAUCUUGCACAAUGGAGGAAACUCUGAUGCAGCGAUGCCGCGUGAGUGAAGAAGGCCUUUGGGUUGUAAAGCUCUUUCGUCGGGGAAGAAAAUGACUGUACCCGAAUAAGAAGGUCCGGCUAACUUCGUGCCAGCAGCCGCGGUAAUACGAAGGGACCUAGCGUAGUUCGGAAUUACUGGGCUUAAAGAGUUCGUAGGUGGUUGAAAAAGUUGGUGGUGAAAUCCCAGAGCUUAACUCUGGAACUGCCAUCAAAACUUUUCAGCUAGAGUAUGAUAGAGGAAAGCAGAAUUUCUAGUGUAGAGGUGAAAUUCGUAGAUAUUAGAAAGAAUACCAAUUGCGAAGGCAGCUUUCUGGAUCAUUACUGACACUGAGGAACGAAAGCAUGGGUAGCGAAGGGGAUUAGAUACCCUCGUAGUCCAUGCCGUAAACGAUGUGUGUUAGACGUUGGAAAUUUAUUUUCAGUGUCGCAGCGAAAGCGAUAAACACACCGCCUGGGGAGUACGACCGCAAGGGUUAAACUCAAAUGAUUUGACGGGGACCCGCACAAGUAGUGGAGCAUGUGGUUUA